rnacentral:rRNA from 1 species
CAGCAUCUCAAGUGGUCAGGAUGAUUAUUGGGCCUAAAGCAUCCGUAGCCGGCGCUGUAAGUUUUCGGUUAAAUCUGUACGCUCAACGUACAGGCUGCCGGGAAUACUGCAGCGCUAGGGAGUGGGAGAGGUAGACGGUACUCGGUAGGAAGGGGUAAAAUCCUUUGAUCUAUUGAUGACCACCUGUGGCGAAGGCGGUCUACCAGAACACGUCCGACGGUGAGGGAUGAAAGCUGGGGGAGCAAACCGGAUUAGAUACCCGAGUAGUCC